rnacentral:lncRNA from 1 species
GGCUGUGCCGUGCUGUGCUGUGCCAUAUUGUGCCACAUUGGUUGUGUUGGUUGGGUGGCACCGUGCCAUUUGGGCUGUGCCAUGCCGUGCCAUGUUGGUUGUGUUGGUUGGGCUCUACUGUGCCAUUUUGGCUGUGCCAUGCCAGGCUGUGCCAUGUUGUGCCAUGUUGGUUGUGUUGGGUGGGUGGCACCGUGCCAUUUGGGCUGUGCCAUGCUGUGCCGUGCCAUGCUGGGCUGUGCCAUGCCACAUUGGUUGUGUUGGUCAGGCUCUACUGUGCCAUACUGACCACACCACAGCAUGCCAUAUCCAUGGCACCACGCUUUGCCAUGCCAACUGUGCCAAGUUGACCAUGACACACCAUGCCACGCCACGCCAUAUCCAUGAUGCCACAGUGUGCCACACCAUGCUGUGCCACACUGUGCCAACCACACCAUGCCAAGUGUGCCACAUUGACCACACCACGCCACUCCAUGCCAUUUCCACGGUGCCAUGGUGUGCCAUGCCAUGCCAACCACUCCAUGCCAACUGUGCCACAUUGACCACACCAUGCCAUGUCAUAUCCAUGGUGCCACACUGUGCCACACCAUGCUGUGCCACGCUGUGCCAACCACGCCAUGCCAUGCCAUAUCCAUGGUGCCACGCUGUGCCACACCACACUGUGCCAUGCUGUGCCACACUGACCACACCAUGCCAUGCCAUAUCCAUGGUGCCAUGCUGUGCCAUGCCAACUGUGCCAAGUUGACCAUGACACACCAUGCCACGCCACGCCAUAUCCAUGGUGCCACAGUGUGCCACACCAUGCUGUGCCACACUGUGCCAACCACACCAUGCUACCUGUGCCACAUUGAUCACACCACGCCAUGCCAUGCCAUAUCCAUGGUACCAUGCUGUGCCAUACCAUGCCAACCGUGCCAUGUUGUCCACACCGUGCCAUGUCAUAUCCAUGGUGCCAUGGUGUGCCGUGCCAUGCCAACCACACCAUGCCAACUGUGCCACAUUGACCACACCGUGCCAUGUCAUAUCCAUGGUGCCACACUGUGCCACACCACACUGUGCCAUGCUGUGCCACGCUGACCACACCAUGCCAUGCCAUAUCCAUGGCACCACGCUUUGCCAUGCCAACUGUGCCAAGUUGACCAUGACACACCAUGCCACGCCAUGUCAUAUCCAUGGUGCCACAGUGUGCCUCACCAUGCUGUGCCACGCUGUGCCAACCACACCAUGCCAAGUGUGCCACAUUGGCCACACCACGCCACUCCAUGCCAUAUCCACGGUGCCAUGCUGUGCCAUGCCAACCACACCAUGCCACCUGUGCCACAUUGACCACACCACGCCACUCCAUGCCAUAUCCACAGUGCCAUGCUGUGCCAUACCAUACCAACCGUGCCAUGUUGACCACACUGUGCCAUGCCAUGUACAAUCCAUGGUGCCACACUGUGCCACACCACACUGUGCCAUGCUGUGCCAACCACUCCAUGCCACUUGUGCCAUACUGACCACACUGACCACGCCAUGCCAUGCCAUAUCCAUGGUGCCACACCAUGCCAUGCUAUGCCAACCACUCCAUGCCAACUGUGCCACAUUGACCACACCGUGCCAUGUCAUAUCCAUGGUGUUACACUGUGCCACACCGUGCUGUGCCACGCUGUGCCAACCACGCCAUGCCAUGCCAUAUCCAUGGUGCCACGCUGUGCCACACCACACUGUGCCGUGCUGUGCCACACUGACCACACCAUGCCAUGCCAUAUCCAUGGUGCCAUGCUGUGCCAUGCCAACUGUGCCAACCACACCAUGCCAACCACAGCAUGCCACCUGUGCCACAUUGACCACAGCACACCACAUCAUGCCAUAUCCACGGUGCCACACCGUGCCGUGCCAUGCCAUGCCAUAUCCGUGGUGCCGUGCCGUGCCGUGCCAACCACACCGUGCCCCCUGUGCCACAUUGACCACACCACACCGUGCCAUGCCAUAUCCAUGGUGCCAUGCCAUCCUGUGCCAUGCCAACCACACCAUGCCAAGUGUGCCAUACUGACCACACCACAACCUGCCAUGACAAAUCCAUGGUGCCAUGCUGUGCCAUGCCAACUGUGCCAAGUUGACCAUGACACACCAUGCCAUGCCAUGCCAUAUCCAUGGCACCAUGCUUUGCCAUGCCAACUGUGCCACAUUGACCACCCCACACCACACCAUAUCCAUGGUGCCAUGCCAUCCCGUGGCGUGCCACCCCAUGCCCCUCGCCCCACCCCAACCACCCCACGCUGACCCCACCACCCCCUCCCCGCAGACCUGGAGCAGCUGCACCUGGGGCUGCACUGCAGCGCCUGCCCCCCCCCCCAGCGCCCCCCAGGGCUGCGCGGCGCUGGCCUGGCGCUGGCGGCACAGCCUGCGGGAGCUCGACCUGGCCGGGCUGGGUUUUGGGGAGCAGGACCU